UACAGAGGGUGCAAGCGUUAAUCGGAAUUACUGGGCGUAAAGCGUGCGUAGACGGUAGCGUAAGUCGGGUGUGAAAGCCCCGGGCUCAACCUGGGAAUUGCAUUCGAGACUGCUCUGCUAGGGUGCGGAAGAGGGAAGCGGAAUUUCCGGUGUAGCGGUGAAAUGCGUAGAUAUCGGAAGGAACACCAGUGGCGAAAGCGGCUUCCUGGUCCAGCACCGACGUUCAGGCACGAAAGCGUGGGGAGCAAAC
rnacentral:rRNA from 1 species